GGUGUCGUGGCGCAAUGGUAGCGCGUUGGCUUCCGGUGCUUUAAGCGGCUGUCUGCCAAAGGCUGCAGGUUCGAGUCCUGCCGAUAUCG